AUAUUGGGCAAUGGACGGAAGUCUGACCCAGCCAUGCCGCGUGCAGGAAGACGGCCUUCUGGGUUGUAAACUGCUUUUAUAUAAGAAGAAAACACUCUUGCGAGAGGAACUGACGGUACUAUAUGAAUAAUCACCGGCUAACUCCGUGCCAGCAGCCGCGGUAAUACGGAGGGUGCAAGCGUUGUCCGGAUUUAUUGGGUUUAAAGGGUGCGUAGGCGGCCCGUUAAGUCAGUGGUGAAAUCCUCCAGCUCAACUGGAGAACUGCCAUUGAUACUGGCGGGCUUGAGUACAGACGAGGUUGGCGGAAUUGAUGGUGUAGCGGUGAAAUGCAUAGAUACCAUCAAGAACACCGAUUGCGUAGGCAGCUAACUAGGCUGUAACUGACGCUGAGGCACGAAAGCGUGGGGAGCGAACAG
rnacentral:rRNA from 1 species